CACGCAGCUCCUUAUUCCAGGAUGAGGUGCUGCUGUGAGUCAGGGAACGGUUCCAGCCCAGGCCAUCACAGAAGGAGCUGCUCCACUCCCACAGAGGGCAGGCACCAAGAAGCUGAUUGCAUAUGGAAUCCACCAAAUCGUUACCCGUCCUCACGGAAAGCAAAACGCAAAUCACAAACGCAAUCAGUCCGCACCUGGAAGGCUCCCCACUGUACAGCCUUCAUCACAACAGGUCAGGCGACCGCUUCACGGAUGUACUACGGCCUCCCACCGCUCCUUGAUGCUGAAUUCGCUCUUAGUCGUACAGAAGAUUAAAGGAUGAUGAAAAGCCAUUCAAGUUUUUCAGCCUCUUCGGGACAUCUCGUCACCAGCACUGAUAGCAAAAAGGCAGAAGUAUUUUUCAGCAUUGCAAGCCUCAGCCAACCUUCAGCCCAAAAAGCGUGACGUGGAACUGAGCGCCGUGCAGGACUGCAGAGCGCCGUGGAGAGACUCCGAAGAGCAGCAGCUCAAUGUGCAGAACACAGGCGGGAGGAAACAGGAAACCAUUCCCACAGCUGCAGCACUUGCUGUAUUCUGGUGGUAUUGCUUGGUUUCUGCAGUCCAGGUUCUCUAACCUCGUUCUAGUAAACAGUGAGGAAGGAGGAUAUAAGGGCUAUCUAUACCUGUGAUAUGACUUAGGCAGCUGUUGCAGGAGCUGAACAGAUUCCUAAAUAAGCCAUGUAGUAAGGACCACAACUGUAACUUGCCAAGGGCUGUAGGAAUGGGAGAACUUUGCCUGACUUUACAAGUGCUCUAGGAGACAUUUUGCCAAUCAUGAAUCAAAUUUCCCAUUGCCUUUUCUGUUUGCUUUUUCUUUGUUGUUUGGUUUUCCUUUCUAUGCCUUGUUGAGCUUUUUACAUUCCUAUUCUUAAUGGACUCCUGUGUACAAAAAGCAUAUUCCACUCCUUUCACCAGACCGUAGUAAACUCUGAGACAACUUUCCUUAUAAAUGCAAGAAAUAUUUCAUAUAUAUAUAUAUUUGUAUGUUAAAGCCAAUGUAGAGUAGCGAGAACAUAAAAAGUCUGACAGGAAAAGAGUGUAUGCUCAGCAGGAGCUUCACCUGGGCGCUUUGUUCACGUCAGUUUGCUGGAGACUUAGUGAUAUGGUUUCCCUAGAUGCAUGCAAAUAAAAUCUGUGAAGUCUUCGUUUGCUCUAACAAGAUCAAGUAUUUAGGGUUAGACUCUACUGCUGCUUUAAAAUUGAUAGUUUGAAUUAACUAUCAUUCUGCAGUGCCAAAUGAUGUGCAAGGAAGUUUUAAUUAUCAGCUUCACCCUUAGAAUAUUUGUAAUACACUAACAUACAUUUCUGUCCCUCCACUUUUUAUUACAAGUGAGAUUUAUUAAUUCCUUUUACAAGCUUGGGUGAUCCUUACAUCCCAAACCAUGCUGUAUUAACUUCUCUCCUCCUUAUGGUGGGGGCUUCAUCCCUUCCAACUUUUUUAACAAAUAAUUCACUUCUUUACAACUGACGGUCCUUUUCAGCCACAGAAACUGAAUGCUGAAAUAGGAAAUGUUUUCCAGUCUGCUGUUAAACAAAGAGAACUCUUCAUAAUGCAGACCAAAAAAGUCUGUCGAUAUGUGUAAUAGCUUUAUCCUCAAGAGGAGUGGAUUUGGGCGGCUUUGUUGCUGGCAGCUCUGGUGGGCACUGUCAAGAUUUAUAAAGAGGGACAUUUACAAGACGGAAGAUGCAGUGUUCUUCCAAGGCUGUUAGAACAAAAUAGAUCUGAAUCCCAUACAAAACAAAUGAACCGAAUAAUUUUAAUUAAUCAAAUCCUAUUUUUUUUUCUCUCAGUGUAAUCAUAUCUUUAAUCUUGAAUGCAUUGCUGUUAAAUAAGAAAUGUAGCAAAAUAUUCACCUCUUUUUUCAUUCUCUUGCGCAAACAAUGUAAUAUAGAUCUGUUAAAUCUGAAAGAAAAGGAUUUGCUCAUAUUUCAGUCACAGCAGUCAACCCACACGUUUGAAAAUGUGUAAUGAAGUAAGGGCAUAGUAAGAAAUCUUUUCUCCCUCUGUCCUAAAGAUAACUGCAUAUGUACUGGAACUUGAGUAAGCUCAAAAAACAUGAAUGCUGAUAAAUAAUCUAUAACUUCCCUUGCUUCCAGGGAGAAAUGGCCUUCGCCUGCAAAUCUCUGGAUUUGGCAACUAUACCUAAUUCAUUUUAAACUCCCACUGACAUCAGCAAAAAUUACCCAAUUAGGGAUGCAGGAUCGGAUCUAAGAUGGUAGCAUAUUAAAAUGCUAUUAUAAAUUCAAAAGAUGCUACACAAAGUAUAAAGCAUUCAAGGCAGUUGAACAGUUCUCAGCGUGCAUAUUCAAAAUGCUAAACAAUAGCAGCUAUUGCAUGUGUGACCAUCAGGAAACACAGCUGUGCUUCUUUGUGUUACAAUUAAUUACUUCCGUUGUAUAUAAAAUUGAAAGUAUUGGUACUCUGGGGCGGAAGAAGGAUAUCCUGAUACACUGCUCCUAUUUCCUUAGGAAGGACUAUGACUGAACCUUUCACCAUUAAUAAAGUUGCAAUGACUUUUCCUGCGAUGAAUAAAGGAAGGGUAAAUUUUGUGGUUAAUUAUAAUGCUAAUGGUACUUUUUCUCUGCAUUUUUACACUCCUACAUUUAUAUCUCAUUUUAGUGUUUUCGCAUGCCAUCUUUGAUAACAAUUGCUCACUUCUAAGUAGUUGAACUUAAUGAAAAGUCUAAAGUAAAUAUUUGGCUUAAAGAUUGUUCUAUUUUUUUUUUUUUUUUUAAUGAUAUUGGAUCAGAGGAAAGCAUAAAACUUCACCACUGUUCUUUAGCAGGCCGAGUAAAAUCUUCUUACCUUAGACAACAGACAACAGCUUCUGUGACUGUUCAGGAAACCAGUGAAGCCUCCAUCAGCCAACAGCAACUGGCAGAAUUUAAGAUUCACAAUUAGGGGAAAAAGCAACGCCAAAGCCCAUAGUCUGGAAAUCACCAUUUUCUUCAGAGCAAAUCAUAGUCUCUCUCCUAUUAAGAACCUCUUAACGCAACACUUGUCAAGCUGUAUUGCACCGUGUGUUUCUCUAAUGAACUUUGCUCUGUUCACUUUUUGCACCCUAUUAUCUGGCAGAGUGUUAUACCUCUAGCGCUUCCCCUUCGUACCGCUCAGCUCCCCAGGGAUCACGGUACAACUGUCUAGUGCAAAGUUCAAAGGUCAGCACAGGCAAUCUGGAAAAAGAGCAGUUGAAAACUAACAGCAAUCCGUGGACGUUCUGUUCAUUCUUCUGAAUUGUGUUUUGCCUUACGCACGCUGUAAACAAAUCAGGGCUGUAAAAUAAAAUCAAAGUUCACACGUUUGCAGUUCUUGAUACUGUACUUUGUAAGCCAUCUAAAGCCAAGUUUGUCCAUUUAUUAUCUAAAUCCUUAAUUAUGUUUAUUAUCUAACUUCUUAAUUAUGUUUAAUAUAAUUAGUUGUAUCUUUAAAAAUACUGCAUGCCUGAGGGGUGUGGAUUAGGAAUGCACAAAAUGGCUGUUUUAAUAAGUCACGCUGCUAUACGAAGAUACUCUUUCAUUUGGAAGUACUUUUUUGGCACUAGAGUUCAAUGAGAGCAUUUAAAACACUUUGUAUAUUAAAGUCACUUCUGCUAAGAAACGGAGCAACACCCACCAGAACCCACGCAAUCAAACUUCGUUCACAGAUUCAUCCACGUAACCCAAGACAGAAUUUACCUAUUCCUUGUAAACUUGCUAUAAACAGCAUUUGUUGACACGAUAAGGUCUCUGAGUAUACAAGUCUUGCUAAGUUACAACAUGUACUGUUAGCACACUACAUCUCUUGAGCGUACUAACGUUUAAAACAGCACAAUUCAGUUAAUGAAACAUUCAAGACUGAUACGCAGUGAGGUUGAAACCAAUGCUUUUAAUUUUAUUUUCAGGUUCGAAGUAGAGAAUACAAGCUUGUGUAUGCUGUCAGCUGUUCACAUGCCAUAUUAACAAAUAUGUCUGAAUCGUAAAGCUUUAAAUGUAUUUGUACAUUCGUUUUAUUACUAGACUGUUUUAUCCAUGUUGGCACAGGUAAUCCAUGCAAGGUACAGUUACUCACACCUCAUAAACCAUGCUGCAUUCUGAUCUGAACUAAGAACUUCAGAAAAAUAUGUAUCUAAAAGCAAGGGCACUUGUGGCAUCAAGUCAACAUGUAAAUAUAUUAUAAAACCUAGACUUCUAUGAUCACCGCAGACAAGAAAUCACUCAGUUUCAAAUUCGGAUGUUUGUAAAUGCUAAACAACUUAAUAUCUGCUACCUGGAGACAAGUAUUACAAAUAAACAUCAGCAUACCCAGCAUUAGACACUAAUGAGUGUGUUCAGUGCUGUGGAUGUUCACAUUAUUAAACAUAAAUAUGUCUUUAAGGAAACAUUUCACCCAAAGUACUGACCACUGAAGGACCAAAGUAAAAUACUUUUUCCUCGUUUAAAAUUGCAAUGUGUGAAUGCAGUGCAGUACAAAUUAACUUAGAAAAAAUAAGUCAGGUCGAUGGUUUUCUUUUCAGAUAAUAAAAGCAAAGCCUUCUUUGGUAAUCUUUACUCCCUUAUGCAAAAAGAGCAGAAAAAGAGAAAAAGCAUUAAGGUCAUUUUUGAAGCCUUUGGCUGAAAAGAUGCUGAACACCUUAUUAGAUAAAAUACCGGUAUUCCUAUUUGGUCAUUCAGAGGUACAGGAUCUUUGUUUUAUUACGUAAAGUCCCACGUUAAUUAAUAUAAAUAUUUAGGAACUUAUGACUUAUCCCAGGCAUCUGUUAC
rnacentral:lncRNA from 1 species